rnacentral:rRNA from 1 species
UACGUAGGGGGCUAGCGUUGUCCGGAAUCAUUGGGCGUAAAGAGCGUGUAGGCGGCUCGGUAAGUCCGCUGUAAAAGUCAAAGGCUCAACCUUUGAAUGUCAGUGGAUACUGCCGGGCUAGAGUCCGGAAGAGGCGAGUGGAACUCCUGGUGUAGCGGUGGAAUGCGCAGAUAUCAGGAAGAACACCGACGGCGAAGGCAGCUCGCUGGGACGGUACUGACGCUGAGACGCGAAAGCGUGGGGAGCGAACAGG